GGGGAGCCCGCGGGGCGGAGGAUGGAGUAGCGGGGCGAGGCGCCGCGGGAGCAGAUAGCGCGGGGAGCGCCGCCUCCGCCCGGGGGAGAAGGGAGGAAGGCGGAGAUCAUGCACGGGGGGACACCGCGCUAGGGGCAGGAGGCGGGUGGUCGCCCGGAGGCUCCGCACCUCGGGAGUGACGUCCUGCUGCAGUGCCGCUGCUGCCGACGCUGCCCGAGCUCGUCAAUGGAGCUGGAAAACAUCGUUGCCAACACCGUCUUGUUGAAAGCCAGGGAAGGGGGUGGAGGGAAACGCAAAGGCAAAAGCAAGAAGUGGAAGGAAAUCUUGAAAUUCCCUCACAUUAGCCAGUGUGAAGAUCUCCGGAAAACAAUAGACAGAGAUUACUGCAGCAUAUGCGAAAAGCAACCGAUCGGAAGGCUUCUCUUUCGGCAGUUCUGUGAAACUCGACCCGAGCUUGAGUGCUGCAUUAGGUUCCUUGACUCGGUGGCAGAAUAUGAAAUUGCUCCAGAUGAAAAGCUGGGAGAGAAAGGAAAGGAAAUCAUGAUGAAAUACCUCACCCCAGAGUCUCCAGCCUUCGUUCCUGAAGUCAGUCAAGAUCUUAUCCAACAGACAGAGGAGAAACUCAAAAACAGCCCCUGCAAAGAGCUGUUUUCUCUCUGUACAAAAUCUGUCCUUGACCACCUCAGUGGGGAACCAUUCCAAGAAUACCUAAGCAGCAUGUACUUCGACAGGUUUCUCCAGUGGAAGUGGUUGGAAAGGCAACCAGUAACGAAAAACACGUUUCGGCAGUACAGGGUACUAGGGAAAGGCGGCUUUGGGGAGGUCUGCGCUUGCCAAGUCCGCGCGACGGGGAAGAUGUACGCCUGCAAGAGACUAGAGAAGAAGAGAAUAAAAAAGAGGAAAGGCGAAUCCAUGGCGCUAAAUGAAAAGCAGAUUUUAGAAAAAGUCAAUAGUCAGUUUGUAGUCAAUUUAGCCUAUGCCUAUGAAACAAAGGAUGCACUAUGCUUAGUUCUGACCAUAAUGAAUGGAGGUGACCUGAAGUUUCAUAUCUACAACAUGGGAAACCCAGGCUUUGAGGAGGAAAGAGCUUUGUUUUACGCAGCAGAGAUUCUUUGUGGCUUAGAAGACCUACACAGAGAAAAUACCGUGUACAGAGAUUUGAAGCCAGAAAAUAUCCUGCUAGAUGAUUAUGGCCAUAUUAGAAUAUCUGAUUUGGGUCUAGCUGUUAAAAUCCCUGAGGGUGAAUCAAUCCGUGGAAGAGUAGGAACAGUAGGAUAUAUGGCUCCAGAAGUGCUGAACAACCAGAGAUACACGCUCAGCCCUGACUACUGGGGGCUAGGCUGUCUCAUUUAUGAAAUGAUUGCUGGGCAAUCACCAUUUCGUGGAAGGAAAGAGAAGGUGAAGAGGGAAGAAGUGGACAGACGAGUGCUGGAGACAGAAGAGGUGUACUCCCACAAGUUUUCUGAGGAGGCCAAGUCCAUCUGUAAAAUGCUCCUCGCCAAAGACGUGAAGCAGCGGCUGGGGUGUCAAGGGGAAGGCACGGCAGAGGUGAAGAGGCACCCCUUUUUCAAGAGCAUGAAUUUCAAGCGGUUAGAAGCAGGAAUGCUGGAUCCUCCCUUUGUCCCUGAUCCCAGAGCAGUGUACUGCAAGGAUGUGUUAGACAUCGAGCAGUUCUCCACAGUGAAAGGAGUUAACCUGGACCAAACAGAUGAUGAUUUCUAUUCCAAGUUUUCCACAGGAUCGGUAUCUAUUCCAUGGCAAAAUGAGAUGAUAGAAACAGAGUGUUUCAAAGAGCUGAAUGUAUUUGGACCAAAUGGUACUAUUUCACCAGACCUAAACAGAAGUUACCCUCCAGAGCCACCCAAGAAAGGAUUGCUACAGAGAAUAUUUAAGCGACAGUGAAUUGAUUUGACUCCUGGAGCUCGAGUGAGACUUCUUUGCUGCAUUCCUCAAGAACUGCCACGGUCCUCCUGACCUAGAGAGAAUGCAGCAUCAGAACAAUUCAAAGAGUUCUCCAAAUUCAAAGGCCAGUUUAAAUCACCACAUAAAUUCAAAUCAUGUAAGUUCAAACUCCACUGGAAGCAGCUAGUUCCAACUCAGUUUUGUGAAACAACAUGUUGCAUCCUUCCACUAUAAUCUAUGGAGCUUCUAUGGAUGAGAGCGCCUCCACCGUUGAGUGAAAAAAUAGAAAUAAAAUAAAGAAAUCUCCCCCAAAUGGAGAUUUUUCUAUCCAUUCCUUCCAGUGGAGCCUCGCAUUUUAAGAAGAAUUUUCCACUCAGGUCUGUUUUUGGAGGUGGCACUCAAGACUGUGUGAAUCCGAUUUGUCUAUUUAGAACAUUGCAAUAGAAAUUCAAUGAACAUGACUACUUGCACGUAUUUAAAUAGCAUCAUACUAGAACUGAAUUUUGUCUUUAUUAUUUUUAAAGAAAAGUUUUGUAAAUUUCUCUAUUGUCUCAGUUUACAUUUUGUACAUUUGUAUUUAAAUGAAAGUCAGACUUUGGAGGUGUAUAUUUUCCAAGCAGCAGCUGUAAAGCCAUGUGUUUUAAGACAUUUUUUUAAAAGAAAAAAAAAUGUGACUCAAGACUUCCAGAGCCUCAAAAGAGAAAUCAUUCUUUUUAGUAAAUCUAGAAAAAUAUUCAUAAAUCA